ACCAAUUGUCGCACACCCGGAACAGGAAGAUCAUUUAAGCAAGAUUCAGGAACACUUUUGUAGUUUUUACCCACUCAGAGUCAGGAUACUUCCACACUCUCAAGAAGAUAACAUUUCAUAUUGAAAGCCUUUAUUUUAUUGACUUUUUGACAAACAACUUUUAUACCCACAACCCGGGAGUCUUCCAGGUGUUGACUCCCCCAUCUGCUGAUGUGCCGCGAUUGUGCAUCAUCAGCACGUCCGCAGGCCAGAACCUUUCGGGGUGAAAGAUCAUAUGUCUUUGGGGACUCGAGCAGCCUCGUGGAAGGAGAUAACGACGGGUCCACCUGCUAAGCCAACGUGGGUUUGGAUGAGGAAAGCAGGAAGGGAUGGUGCUUACAGGCAGGAAAGGAUGGAUGAAUAUUGGCGGUUAUUUGCAGACGAACUGGUCGACCAGUGAAGUGCAGCGCUUGCAUUUGACGUAGCAGCACCAGUGGAACUUGCAGUGGCAGCGCUCGUGUUUGUACGUCUUGAACUGGUCGUAGCCGCGGCCGCAGCACAUCAGCUCGCAGCCGUCCAUGCCCUCUGACGUCUUGUUGCACAGGCGGCCCCGAGUGCCCAGCGAGCCUGUCGUCUCGUUGUGGAGGCAGUAGUCCGGGCUGGGGUCAAUGUAGACCAGGUCCUCCGGGGUUGGGGGGUUGAAACGCUUGUCCACCUGCUCCAGUUUGCCCUGAAUCAGAUAAAGGACAGAUUCUUUGUGACGCCUUCGUACAAACCUUUACAAAGUUGCACUCCCAGGCUCGUUACCUUGCGUCCGAUGCGCAUGGCGGCGGCGCUGUCGUAUUUUUCCUUAAGGAAUUCGCCAACGCGCCUGAAGUCGGCCAGUUGGAGCCAACAGGUCUUCAGGCUGCAGGAACCGGAGACGCCGUGACACUUGCAGGCCACGUUGGCGAGGUUGUACACUGCCUAGAACAUGAAAAAAACAACAAUAUUUUGAUUCACUGGCACAUAAGUUAGUCACAUUUUUAGAAGAAAUGUCCAGGGUGUACCUCGCCUACCGCCCGAAUGCAGCUGAAAUAGGCUCCCAACCUCUCCCGCGACCUCGAAAGGGAUAAGCGGUAGCAAAUGGAUGGAUGGAUGGAUGGAUGUCCAAAUCUUAGAAGUUUUAGUUUCAAGUGUGUCUCAAAGCUUCGUUGGCUUUUGAAAUGCUGCCCUCUGGCGGCGUUUGUGUGCAACUACAAUUAUUUCUCUGCCGCUCUUACAGAUUUUUUGAGCGAGAUUAACAGCAGCAGAUAUGGAGGGGGAAGAAAGUAAAAAUGUGUAAUUAUUCAACCAUUAAUUUUCAGAAUUUUUUUUAAUGUGUUUUUUUUUGUUGCUUUUUUACAAGAGCAAUAUCAAAAAGUCUUCAAUUGUUCAGCAAGCGGCACCCAUAGUGUAAACAAAUGUGGUUUCCACUCAUGUGAAGUGUGUAUUUGUGUUUAUA